AUUGAACGCUGGCGGAAUGCUUUACACAUGCAAGUCGAACGGCAGCACGGGGCAACCUGGUGGCGAGUGGCGAACGGGUGAGUAAUACAUCGGAACGUGCCCAAUCGUGGGGAUAACGUAGCGAAAGUUACGCUAAUACCGCAUACGAUCUACGGAUGAAAGCGGGGAUCGCAAGACCUCGCGCGAGUGGAGCGGCCGAUGUCAGAUUAGGUAGUUGGUGGGGUAAAGGCUCACCAAGCCAACGAUCUGUAGCUGGUCUGAGAGGACGACCAGCCACACUGGAACUGAGACACGGUCCAGACUCCUACGGGAGGCAGCAGUGGGGAAUUUUGGACAAUGGGCGCAAGCCUGUUCCAGCCAUUCCGCGUGCAGGAUGAAGGCCUUCGGUUGUAACUGCUUUGUACGGAACGAAACGGCGAGCUCUAAUACAGUUUGCUAAUGACGGUACCGUAAGAAUAAGCACCGGCUAACUACGUGCCAGCAGCCGCGGUAA
rnacentral:rRNA from 1 species